CUCUCUCUCUCUCUCAAGGAUAAAUAAACAUUAAAAAAAAAAAUUUUUUUUAAAGAUGAUGCAGGUGGAAAGGAUGCUCCAGUAGCUCCUUUGCAGGAAUACUACCCAAUCCAAAGUUCUGAUUUUUGGAAGGGGGUGGAUGGUGACAACGGGGAAUGAUUGUCAGAAGAAGUGAUGUCUGUGCUGAGACGCGAAUAAUAAACUAGAAGUUAGCCAGGUCAAAGUUUGGGGAAGGGAGGCAAAUCGGGUAUUCUUGGCAAAAGAGACAGUAUGAGUCUAGGCACCGAGGCAAGAAAAAACAUAGUUCUGUUAAAGAAUUGGAAGAAGUUCAGUCUCUUUGGAGUACUCUCUAAGAAGAAUGUGUCAAGAGUCUACAGAGGUGGUCACAUUCAGAGCUAAGCCCCUUUAUGUUUGGGACUUUAUUCUAGGCGGGGUCUAUAGCAGGGGAUUGACAUCACAAAGACCCCUCUGGCUUCAUAGUCAAGCAUGGACUGGCUGGGGGAGCAGUCAGAGGGUUACUGCAGAAAUUGAGCAUGGAGAAAUCGCUCACUGCGUCUAGAAUGGCAAUUGCACAGAUGCUGGUCGUGUCACUCUUGAAGCCUUAACUGAAGAAUGUUUAAUAUGAAGGAACCAUUUACAGAAGAGCAGGCUGUGUUAGAAGAACCAGCAAUGGAUGGAGAAGCACCCAGGUCUUAGCAACUGGGAAGCUGCUUCCACCCCAGGGACCUAGGAGAAGAGAAAGUUUCUGUGAGCUGGUCUCCUGUUCUUGCUUCUGAGUGGUUGCUGACAACUGGAAGGCAGAGUCUAGGGAGCCUGAGUGAUGUGCUUAGUACAUCGAGUUUUACUCUUGGAGCACAGAGCAAGGCAGAGAAGGGCAGAGAAUGAAUCUGGAGAAAGCAGAGACAGAAAAAAUAAAAUCGCAAAAAGUGUA